AGUGAACGCUGGCGGUAGGCCUAACACAUGCAAGUCGAACGGCAGCACAGUAAGAGCUUGCUCUUACGGGUGGCGAGUGGCGGACGGGUGCGGAAUACAUCGGAAUCUACUUUUUCGUGGGGGAUAACGCAGGGAAACUUACGCUAAUACCGCAUACGACCUACGGGUGAAAGCAGGGGAUCUUCGGACCUUGCGCGAUUGAAUGAGCCGAUGCCGGAUUAGCGAGUUGGCGGGGUAACGGCCCACCAAGGCGACGAUCCGUAGCUGGUCUGAGAGGAUGAUCAGCCACACUGGAACUGAGACACGGUCCAGACUCCUACGGGAGGCAGCAGUGGGGAAUAUUGGACAAUGGGCGCAAGCCUGAUCCAGCCAUACCGCGUGUGUGAAGAAGGCCUUCGGGUUGUAAAGCCCUUUUGUUGGGAAAGAAAAGCAGCAGGUUAAUACCCCGCUGUUCUGACGGUACCCAAAGAAUAAGCACCGGCUAACUUCGUG
rnacentral:rRNA from 1 species